rnacentral:lncRNA from 1 species
GCUCAAGUUGCUGCAGAUAAAUCUGGGAAGUGAAGAAAUACUAGAAACUUCCUUAAGUAGUUUAAGUAAACUCCUUUACUGAGAAGGUCUUAGAAACCCUUCCCUUUGCUGCGCUCCGAAAAUCGCAACCUUGCUGGGCUUCUGGUUGCCGAUCUAGUUUUUGCCCUCCCGCUUCUUCAUUAGGUCCUUGAGAGAGCUGUGAAACACAGAUCUAUCCUGUUCAGUGCUGCGGGCCCGCGCUCUGGAAAGUUUCUGCAUUUCUUUGAGCGGCUGCUUUCCCCACCGAGUUUCCCGGGGCCCGGGCACCCGCAGCCCUCCUCUCUCUGCAGAACGUGAGGGGCGUGAGCAGUCGGGCGGUGGGCUCGUCUCUCCCCGGCUGCUGCCCAUGCAGCCAUCUCUCAUUCUCCUCUCCCUAGUGAGCCCUUCUGGAAGAAAUUGGGCCCUAAGUGUGGUCUCAGCUCUCUCAAGUGAUGGGGAGCCUUGGAGAUGGUUUGAGAACCAAGUUCUGCACGCUAGUAUCCAUUCUCCCAACUGAUAAUGACGCUUCAGUUGCCCGUAAGGAAGACCCUCCUUCCCCCAUUGGAUACAACCUUACUUCGACUGUUACUCAAGGUGUCCUACCCUCCUCUGGCCAGUGGCUCUUUUUGGAAAAUUCCCUACGAGAACCGAAAUUUAAACCCAUUUACUUUAUAAGAAGCAGCAGAAAGAAGACUGGCCCUGAGCUAACAUCCGUGCUCAUCUUCCUCUGUUCUAUAUGUGGGACGCCUGCCACAGCAUGGCUUGACAAGUGGUGUGUAGGUCCGCACCUGGGAUCCAAACCGGUCGCUCUUCCCAGUCUUCAUGCACCUGCAGGGCUGUCAACACUGGGAGGACUGGAAGAAAUUUGUAAAGAGUCUGGGAGUCUUCAGAGAGGAAAAGAGUGCAGACCUGGACUCCUCCUUUUCCAAUGUCUUUAUUAUUAGAAGGUUUUCUAUGCAUUGAGCCGGUUCUGAUUAAGAAAGGAUCUAAUAAGAAGGAACAUUGAAGACCUUAAGCUGUUAGCCCUGCUGUGGCCGGCAUUACCCGAUGGGACAGGCUAUCCGGUCAUGGGCACGACUGGAGGCAGAAGGCCCUCCUGACCCGGCCACUGUGCUCUGUAAACUAAAAAGCUGUUGGCGCGGAUGCCAUGUCUUACCUCUGAGGAGCAGGCUGCUUCUCUCUUGACGAAUCGCUGUGGCCACUAUUGGAAUCUGCAACAGCAAAGGCCAGCGCACACCAGGCGAAAAGGUCACCCUGGCCUGUGGGGGAUCCGUUUUCAUCAGUAAACGGUGCCAGGAGCAGAACACCAGCAGCCUUCAGCUUGUAUUCUCUCAGACUCUCUGGUUUUCUCCCUCUGAGGUGGAUCAAGAGGCCCCCAGAGUUUUUGAACAAUUUGAUAGACAAGAGAGACCUUGGACUCCCUGCUAGUCUGGCAAUUGAGAAGUGGUUUUAAUUUGGAAAAAAUAACAGGUGGGACCUCAUUUUUACCCAAAACUAUUGAAGUAGAUCCUACUAUUACCACAUG